CAAACAGUUGUGGGGAUCUGCUGGGAUACAGUGUUGGAUCCGGAUAUAACAAUACCCACUCAACUGGUCCAGGUGUUAAAGGGUAGGUUCGAAGUGGGAGGCCUUCCUGGCAAAUGGCGGAGAUCUUAACAGGUGAUGUUGCCCCGUGAUACCACCAUGAGCUGCUGCCUCACAAUGGGCUCAAGAGGCACAUGCCCAAGCAAUCAUGAACUACAGUGUCUAAGACCUGAAGCCCAAAUAAAACCUUUUCUCUUUAUAAGCUCAUUAUUAUCUUAGAUAUUUGUUGUAGUACCAACACAAAGAUAAAUAUAAUUUCUAGUAUAUUUUAAACACUUUCAUUUUUAAAAUUAAAUUAUUACCUUUUCUAUUUUCCAAUAAAAUUG